rnacentral:lncRNA from 1 species
AAAAAAGGAGUCUUCAACUAACUAAAGCAAGAGAGGACUUACUGAAAAAGGCCUCGUUUGCUAAGAAAGUGGAUAGUCUUCCUAUCGUAGUUCAAGAUCGAUAAGAAUGCUUUGAAUUCGUGUCCCCAAAGUCCCAUGUCUUUCUUGAUUGGUAAACCCAACCAGCGAUUUACAACAAACAAGUCUUUCUUCAUUGCUUAAAGUAAGUAAAGAAACGAGAUACUAGUAACCUCUUGUUGGGGGAAGCAGUUAAAAAAUGAACCAAAGCAAAUGAAAUUCGAAUGGCUAUUCCUCACGAUUGCUCCUUGUGCGGCGGACACCAUUAACAGUCCGCUGGAUCAAUUUGAGAUAAUCCCAUUGAUUGAUAUGAAGAUAGGUGACUUGUAUUUCUCAUUCACAAAUCCCUCUUUGUUUAUGCUGCUCACUCUCAGUUUGGUCUUACUGCUGUUUCAUUUUGUUACUAAAAAUGGAGGAGGAAAGUUAGUACCCAAUGCUUGGCAAUCCUUGGUAGAGCUUAUUUAUGAUUUCGUGCCGAACCUGGUAAACGAACAAAUAGCCGGAAAUGUGAAACAAAGGUUUUUCCCUUGCAUCUCGGUCACUUUUACUUUUUCGUUAUUUUGUAAUCCCCAGGGUAUGAUACCUUAUAGCUUCACAGUUACAAGUCAUUUUCUCAUUACUUUGGGUCUCUCAUUUUCUAUUUUUAUUGGCAUUACUAUAGUGGGAUUUCAAAGAAAUGGGCUUCAUUUUUUAAGCUUCUCAUUACCCGCAGGAGUCCCACUGCCGUUAGCACCUUUUUUAGUACUCCUUGAGCUAAUCCCUCAUUGUUUUCGCGCAUUAAGCUCAGGAAUACGUUUAUUUGCUAAUAUGAUGGCCGGUCAUAGUUCAGUAAAGAUUUUAAGUGGGUCCGCUUGGACUAUGCUAUGUAUGAAUGAUCUUUUCUAUUUCAUAGGAGAUCUUGGUCCUUUAUUUAUAGUUCUUGCAUUAACCGGUCCGGAAUUAGGUGUAGCUAUAUCACAAGCUCAUGUUUCUACGAUCUCAAUCUGUAUAUACUUGAAUGAUGCUAUAAAUCUCCAUCAAACUGGAUAGUUAUUUAUAAUUGAACAAAAGCGAGUCUGAAUGGGUAUACUUAGUCGUGGAGCAUUCCGAGUAUUUGCUUUAGGGAUCGUUGUCCUGACAGCCCCUAACUUUGGCAAAGACUACUCGCUCGCUUUAAAAGCAACUCCAUUGAGUCCUGUCAGAUCGUUUAUAUAUAACCUUUAUUCAUAUAUGACCUUAGAAAGGUUCUGAAAGAAAGAAGAGUUCCAUUCGAUUAUCCGGGCUCAUUGCCUAGUCCCUCUAAACUAUCUAAAGCCUGGGGAUUCUCCUUACCAGAUGAUCUCCAGCCUGCAUUGUGCCCCUCUCGGAUACCCUGCAGGGUCGACGUAACUCUUACCUAGGUAGACUGGCUAUCCAACUGAAUCGAGAGCCCAGCUCCCACUACUUCUUCGUAAGUGAGGUGAGGUACUUCUUUUGAAUAGGCAGGGUUGUUCUAGGAUGACUCAAGUGACGAUGCUGACACCAAGGUUGCUUGCAAAGCAUCGGAUAUGCGAAAGAGGGAGAAUGUGCUACAUCGGAUAUUGCUGUAGUUGAUGAAAGAGCUGUAGUUUAUGCUAAAGCAUCGGUUACGAAUGACCCAAUCUAUCUAUGGUAACCACCCUUACUUUUAGUAGAUGGAGAUGCGCACCUAGGAAAGACGGAUGAAAGAGAACCUGCCCUAAGAGAUUGGCAUAGGCCUGUGGGCCCGCUGCGGUAGAAGGCCUUUGCUGGCCUGUCGAUCUAUCCUGAUUAACUUACUGACGCUAUUUCUGACUAGAGAGAGGGCUUAGAUCGGAGAGGAGCAGCUCUUUUCUUUUUAACAUAAAGCAGUGAUGAAUGGGACGGAGCUGCUACAAUCAAUAGCUUCAGCUGCUUUAUGUAUUGGAGCAGAGGUGGCAGUUAGCAGCAGGAACAGGACCAGCAACUAGGGUUGUUCACAGAGCAGCCGUCUUUCCGUCUCAAGCGGAGAAGACAUCAAAAGAAUCUUUAUCUAUGGCUCUACCAGGGAAUCCUAGUUAGUUAUAGGGUUCUGAACCAGAGCAGAGAUAGGAAAAAGCAUAUCCUAUGUAUACUGAACCUGAGCUUGCUUACCAUAGGACUGCUAUUGGAUAGGUUUACCUUUUUUCUCCAACUCGCUUAUUAUAGUGGGAAGCUCGGCUGGUAAGGGAUUCUAUUAGGAUAGGACUCCAACUGUAAGAACUGGCCUUAGUACUGCAGCAAUUGGAAGGAGAACUGAAAAGACCUUCGACCAUUUCAUUUGGUAGCACGUUUAGCUCGUUAUGAAACGUAUUGUUAGAACUAGAAGUGUUCUUAGUCCAGGUAAGAGUCCAAUGCUAGAUUAAUAAUGUAAAAUAUGAGAUAUCCUAAGGUAUUUAAUUGCUUGUUUGAUAGAAUAAGGAGGAAAGAAGUCUGUUUCCUAUUGAUAGUGGCACUCCCACAGGCUGGCGGGGAACUCCCAUAUGGAUGGCUGAGAAUAAUUCAUAUAUAGGCUAUAGGCUUGAAAAGAGUGCUAGCUUUCGUUAGGCCUUUCUUUUCCUAAAGAUAGGAUCCCACCUUCCCUAAUUCUGAGCAAGAACAUCUUAUUCAAUUCAACAAGUGCUACCCACUAAUCUAAUCUAAUCUCAGUCGAAUGCUCCUUAAGUUUAAGGGGUAAGUCCUCAACGAAAAGCCAUAACUCUUAACCGUUCGGAUCCCAUAUACGCAUGGGCUACUUCACUCCUUUCUUUAUUUCACGUUUUCUCGGGAAAAUUAGUUGCAAAUAGAUUUCUGCCCAUAAACGGACAUUCAAAUCGAUCAACUCGCUAAAACCCCGUAUUUUUUAUUGCAAGUCAAUUUUUGCCUAUAGACGGACAUUGAAAUCGAUACAGUUUCAUUUUCCCGGGAAUUUUGCGGAAAGAUUGGCUGAAUUCCUAUCCCAAGAGCGGAUUCUGAUUCAGUAGUUUUCUUCAGGUUGGGUCGGCUUGAGCUUGAGACAGAUGUGGUUCUUCUGGGUCAGUGCCAAUGGGAACUACAUAUCAAAGAGACCGGGUUCCAUUUAGUUCCAAAGACUGGUAGGGAUAGGGAUCAAUUCAAUCGACCUACUUCCCCUUACUAUAAAUAUAAAUAGUAAAACUACUCUGUCCCAUAGUGAGAGUGGAGUUCCAAGCGACCAUUUUCUGCCCAGCUUUCUUUCCUUUUGUGAAAGCAUAUGACAUAGUUAAAGAAAAAGAAGAGAAUGCAAGCGGAACUUCAUCCGUAAGCGGUGUUGGAGGACUAGCAAUUGAAUCAGCUGUUGAUGCAAUAAAAGCUGUGAUCCUAGGAGCUGCACAUGAUGGGGAAUAGCCGGUGCAUCGAUAUUCUGUAAGUGUUCCAUAAACCGGAGGAUUUCCGCUUUGAGAUCUCAAAGGAGCUCAUCUGAAGCCCCUCCCAGGCCAAGUUCCCCCACUGAAAAAGCUAGAGAAAGGUUGCUCAGCCCCGACUUCCCUAGGCCCUUCGUUCAACUCGCCUUUUGGCGACUACACUUCCUACCCAAAAUAAUAGAUAGAAAUAUCGCAAAUAGAGCCAUUGCAACACCCAUCAAGGGAGUAGUUCCCCACCCCGGAGCUACUUUACCAUAUUCUGAAUUUAAUGGUUUCAAUAAAUCACCUACAACAGUUCGUCUUGGACCAGAUCUAGAAUUAUCCUCAACGGUUUGCGUAGCCAUAAAUACUAUUUUUUAUUCAUUGAGAUCUGUUUACUUUGUAUAUCAUUCCGCUGUAAAUAUAAGGAUCUUAUCCUAUAGAUCUAUUGUGGUCUUGAAACUUUAUAAUUCUAAUAAUGGAAACAGCAACCCUAAUUGCCAUCUCUAUCAGCUAGUUAGCUAGCCGCUCUUUCCCUAGUCUUAGCUAGUCUCAUUUUCCUUCGGCUUCUUGUAAGGCUCACUUCACUUCUCUUGAAAGACAAGACAGGGAAGAGGUUACUAUGUAGCUAACGGGAGAGGUAUGAAGAUAGAUUGCUCACUUAUAGGCUCAGGAACUCCAACUACAAAACAAACUCUGAACUACACUAUUUCAGUUCCUUUCUCUUCUCUUCCCGAGAGUCUUACUUCACUGUCGACUUAGUAAUCAAUUCCAUUCCAUAUUCCCCUAUUUUCCUGUGAUUCGGAAUUACAAAGUAUACUUUAGCUUUAGAAAAUAGGCUUGAGCAGAGCCCUUCCAGUUCGAGUCUAUAUGUUGUUAAUUCCCUUUGUUGCUGAACCUCAUCCGUACACUUACGUACUCAACUAAACAAGGGCAGAGUCUGAUCGAUGGGAGUUCACUAGGGGCACCAUUUCAGAGAGGAGAGAAUCCAUUUCAAAGGGAAGGACUGAUUGAGUAUGAAGUAGAAAGAAGAGACUAGCUGAUGUGCUUACAAGCCUUUGAUCCUUUCUAUCUCUCUAUAUAUAGACUAUGGAUUUUGAUUCAAUUUAGAUGGUUCAUUCCUCGACUCAAUCCUAACCUAAAGGCGAAGUCGUAAUAGUCAAUCUAACCUGUAAGCGGCGCGGUAGAAGGGAAGUGAGAAUUCUCAAACUAACCAGCUAAGGCGGAAUAGUCCGAUCGAACCCCGGGAAUGAAGUCCUUUGUCUGGUAAGAAGUUGUUACUGAAUAUCUGUCCUUACUUAAUAAACAAGUAUGGAAGGUUCUCUCAUCGCCCGAGAUGUACUAAAGGGAUAGGAUAAACCAACCAAAGCAGAAGAAGGGAAGAGAGCCCCAGUGAAGUAAACCGAGGGCACGAAGCAAGCAAGGUAUGGUGGGUGCCAGCUACUUUCACUUGUUAGGAGUAGGGGCUGAAAAGAGCUCUUUGUAUAGGUUGGGUUUGCUGGGCUUUGAUGCUUACCUUAUUUUUUUGAAAAGGGGAAGGUUUGAUAAAGGAGCUUUUAAGCCCUUUUGCUGGAUUGUUGGUCUGCAGCCCCGCCCUAUAGAAUAGAAUGAAUCCAAUAAGGAGAGGCCUAUGGAUGACCGAGCCACUCUUAUACUACUCCUUACCUCACCCCCUUCUCACUUAAAGGGCGAAGUCGCUGAAGCGAGUCUAAAGGCCAAAGAGUGAUCUUUGAACGUUACUACGCAUCCUUAUUAAUUAAUAGGUAUAGUGUAAGGUAGGUUUGUUUGGGUAUAGCAGGACUUGAACCUGCGACCAUUAGGUUAAAAGCCCAAUGCUCUACCAACUGAGCUAUACACCCAAAAAAAAUAUAGAUAGUAAUAUAGUAGUAAAUAAAGAUGGGUGCAGAAAAGAGGGCGGCCCCUCUUCUCAUCAUAUUAAAGGGGCGCAGCUCUGUAUGAGGCUCGUACUGCGGAGCAAGCGAAGAAUAAGGGCGCGCGUUAGCACUCCUGCAAGAAAACGGCCUUACUCAACAAGCGCACCUUUAUUAGUAAGUUGUUUCCACUCAUUGAAGAUUCUAUCUACAAAAGAAGGUCAACGGGGGAUACUCAAGUUGCUCUCACUGACACCAUCUACGAGAAGGUGAGGUCGUCUUUCUUUCCGGCCGCCAUACGGUUCGUUCGCCUUAAAGCCUUAAAGACGGAGAAAGGGAGGAGCAGUUAUCUAUGUAAUUACGGUCUUUGUUGGCCGUUGUUCCGGUCGAGCACUCUCUUUUCUUUGCUUUGUUCAAUAGAGUCUUACCAAACAAGACUGACUUCUGACCAACCCGCGAAGGGUUGUGAAGUUGGACCAGGUACGAAGAAUGAAUCUAUAUCUGUGUACGGUACGGAAGUUGCUGGCCGGCGGCCGCUCAACUGUUCGAGCGCAAUACAGUGGUGGUUGGUUCCGAUUCGACAAGGGUAGAAUGCCUGGUCGAAGGUCCAGUACAGUAGGUAGCAGGCGUGUUUUGGCUCCCGAGCGAGAACGAUAAAUAGGCGCUGCACCAUUCUUGCUGCUAUGUACGUGAACCUUGACUUGAGAGAUUCAUCCAAUGGAACCCACACUCAAAGGAGGACCACAAGCUCGGGGCUCGACGAAACAGAAAAUAUCAGCAUUAAGAAACUGACUUAUUGGGGUUAGCAGUGAAAGAAAGAGCCCGGCAUUCAUUCAUUUAUUCAUUCAUAUUCAUAGCUUAGUCUACUAAAAUCAAAGAGGGACCAGCCUCAUCGUGGUAAUUAUCGGACAUCUCUGAUCGUUCACCUCUAAUGUGACACGUUCCCUCCCAGUUAUAUGAUCCACGGGAUCAGUCGGCUAGAGAGCGGGGCUAUUCUUCUUCCGGGGAGGGAAAGUCGUCCCCUCUACUGAUCGAACCCUCAGUUCGGGGGUCUUCGUCAACAUGUUUUGAGGCUCCAGUCUUCGGCGGGUCACCAUUACUUGACUUAGAAAGGCGAACAUCUAGGCAAGGGAAAGCGCAGUGCGCCUGGUGCAAAUGGCUUUCUUUUUUCAUGAUAUACCAAUCAGAAUGGAGGACCCUACCUACGUACAUGAUUGAUAGAAGAACUACGUAGGGGGUCGGUCAACUUGAUGCGGGAGAGGCAUGAGUGCAGUUCGAUCUUGUGGUGUAUUCGUUUGUAGUGAGUAGGGCCUCUUUUUGAUCAGUUCGCCUCCGCUCUAUUGAAAGGUCUCCAUUCCUACGGCGGUUUUGUCAACGAACGCGUCUCGGGCCGGAUUGACUAACCUAACCCUUACUUAAGGGGGCCUUGCCAUAGUUGGGUGCUCUGCUUUAGUGUGAUUUACGAAGGCUAGGCUAGUAAUACCAAAAAAAAUGAAAAGAGAUCGGGGUCGAUAGUUGGCAAGGAACUUGAUCCCCCCAAAACACAAAAGGGGCAGCUGCGGUCGAACUCGAAUUCUGGAAAUCAAAUAAGUCGGGGCCCUUUUACCUUACCAAGUCUACCGGAUAGAAAUUAGCAGAUCAGGUAUAGAUACGGGAAAGGCUUUCUCCCUAAGUGGAAUCGGUGGAAUGCCCUGCUUCCGGCUAAGUAUACAGAGUUGGGUCUACCGUUCGUUCCACCGUUACCUCUAUUCUAUUCCGAUCUUUCUUUUCUCCUUUGCUUCCUUGUCUCGUCUAUCCUUCUCUGCCUUCAGCCUGUCUUUGAGCUCUAUCCCGUCCUUCCUUUGGCUUGCCCUGAGGAUUGACUCUCCAAAGUCGAUUUGAUCACUGUUCGGUUCAAGUCUUCAUCGAUCGGGUGGAUCUUUGAGGGGGGAUGGAAAGGUGGGUGAGUCAUGGCUGUGGACAGAGAGAAAUCAAGCGGUAGUCUUCCGGUGGAAUAGAUUUCUAGUAAGUGUCUUCUUUCCUUCUCUUCUAGUAAGCGCCGUCAGGUCUCUCUUCUUGGGAUAUCUUGAUCACCAGAAAGGAUAGAGAUCUUAAGUAGACAUGCUUUAGGCAUCGAUCAUCUUCCUAACUACAUGGUACUCCCCCUCCCAUUACUGGAACCGACGAAAGGGGGUGGAAUAAAGAAAAUGAGGAAGUGUCCCUUAGAGAAAGAGAGUCCGCUCUCUCAUUGUCUGAUUGCAUCGUAGAGCGUCUGCACCAAUUGCUUGGUUGCAGUAGCAGCCCCCUUUCUCCUUCUUUCAUAUGAUAAAUUAGAAAGAUUUUAAAUAUAGUAAGUGUAAGAGCGACUUCAAUCUUUAUUCGCUAAAAAAGAGAAGCCGGGUUCCGAGAAUAGUAGUUUCAUCUGGAUUGGGUUAGUGUUCAGUGUACCUAUGCUUCUUUCGAUCUGCUUUCUAGUUAUGAAUAAGACUCGUCUUCAAGUUCAAGUUAAUAUCAUAGAUAAAGAUCAGAAGUGAAGAAAGACAGAACGAAUCUCUUAUCGCCAUCUUUAUCUUUCUAGCAGUGCUCUCAACUAUUAUCUUAUUAUAUAUAAUACAUAUCUUUCUUCUCUUCUGCUCUUUGCUAUCCCACUUCUACAUAAAACUGUGCUGCAACCUUAAUCCUAAGAAGACGGGGUAGGACUGGAGUCUGAGGGAUCUCUUUCGAAUGUGGUGUGCCCUUGGCCGGGGCAAAAAGACCAAAAUGAUUCUCUAAAGUGGUAGCUCUACGAAGGUUCCAUCUACAGAGCAGGUGGAGAAGGUCGGCGGGCUUCAUCCAAGUCCCUAUCGGAGGUUCCAUAAGGUACAUUCACUUUGUUGGGAGGUGUAGACGCUUAAGCUGGGAACGGCAGUAAGGUCCCUAUUGAUUGAGAUUUUUCACUUCUUGCUUGGCUUGUAAGGCUGUGGCAAUAGGAGGUUGGAGCGAUGCAUGAUGGCCGGGAAAAGACGUAGCGCUUUAGAGAAAUCGGGAUUACACCCUUUUUUAUAUCCCUGUCACAGAGUUUGGCCAGAAAAAAGGUCACGCUUUGGCCUAUCAUGAGAUAAUUAGUUUAUGCACGUGGUGGAGCGGGCAGUCUUAUGCCCUGGUAAUCAAAGAAAUGAGUAAAACGGCCCAAAUAGCCAAAUCGGUAAAAAUGGCAGAAGAGGCUUUUUAUAAGUCCAUUAUGACGGUUCAGGAGGCUAGAACCGUUGACCUUGAGGAUGAAGCAUAGCGCUGCUUAAGUUAAGGAAGAGUUCGCUUUUCUUUUGCCGUAGGAGUUGCCGGCAGGUCUACCCCCUCGGAGACGGGUAGAUCAUCAGUCUGACUACUAAUCAGGCCAGCGGAAAGCUAGAUACGGGCUUACGACUGUUUAGGGAAUUCAAUCAAUGUAAAUUAGGAUUAGGCUACCCUACGACUUGUGACUUAUAUCAACUAACUCUAGACUCCUCUUAGAGAAACUAUGUUGUCAUGAAUUCCUAUUGUAAGGGGCGGUAGCGUAAUCCCCAAAAGGAAAGACAAGAUUUUAGAUAUAGUAAGGCAAGGCAAAAAGGGCGGCAAGCAGGUCUUUCCCUAACCCUAACGAGGACAAAACUAGCUAUCUUCUCUAAGGCGCAUUUCUGUCCAUAUAAGAGUCUAUUCUAGCAAACAAAGGGAGACCCAAGCAGCUUUUUUGUCCUAACAACAGGGGAUUCAUUCGUGAAAGCAGUUCUGGCAUAUGCCUCUUCCUAGUCUCUUAGUUAGCCAAUAAAGGUAUCAAACGAGAACGAGCAAAGGCGGUUAAAGAGAAUAAAGGAGGUUCUUUUCUCGUAAAGCACUAUUGCUAUCAUUCCUUGCCUUACAACCAAGCGUAGACCCGGACUAAAGAAUAGCAGCAAAUCUCUCAGGUGGAAACCUCUCACUGCCAGCCAAGUUUAGAAGCACCCCUUUAUUUCAAUAAGGAGUGUGAAGGAGCCGAAAAAAGGCUGCUAUUAAAACGUUGAGAGUUAUAGGAAGGUUUCCAUACUACUGGACUCCUAUGAUUUCACCCUGUAUACAAAUAGCACUAGACUACUCAUACUCAUCUGAAUCAUACUCAUCAUACACAUCUGAAUCAUAACUCUUAGUAACCCAAAAGACUUAUUAUAACAGUCAAGAACUUCACACCUUUCGGGGUCUAUUGCUCCUGGUCAAGAAACAUUCGAUUUUUCUUUUCCGAGUUUGAGAGGUUUAACUUCCUUUCCCUGUAAUGAAAUCAUAGGAGUAGUAGUAUCUUGAUCUUGAAAGAAAGGCAGGCAGUUUCACUUUCAGUCUGCAUUUUCUGAGCUCUCCGAAAAGGAGUUUAGCAAUCGAUGUUAACUCUAACUCCAGAACUAGAUCUCGUUACAACGAAAUUGGAAGCAUGGGCGGUGGUCGGAUGAACAGAAUGUCCGAGUAAGGAGAACUAGCCAAGCUUCUGAACAAGCGAAGGAACGCCUAACCAUCUGUGAGAUCGGAGACUUCGAGAGGCUCCCCAGUCCUCUUUAACGCCACUCUUUCCGAGUCUCGUUUGAUGAAAUGAAGCUUACGAUUCUCUUAGUGAGAAGCUCAGUUCCGCUUUAAGCCCGACAAGCGAAGCGGGCAAGAGAACUAGGCUUGGUGUGGCUAGCUCUAAAGCAGGCCCUAGUAUUCCUACUGAUCUACUUCUUUCCGUCCCUUGCUAAAAUAUACAUAAUCAGUAAAGAACUAGAGAUGGUACCACUACUACUGACUUUCUUACUGUUGAUGCCCCAUUCAAAAGAAAGGGGUGAAGCUACGGAUGCCAUUGUUUCCACUAUAGCGGAUGUAGUUUGUGUACCUGUAUUUAUACAAUAGCUCAUGUAGCGAGGGAAGUUCCAGUAGCUGGAGAGGAACUCCCCGAUAUCCCAGUAGUUAACGCUUCUCCGCUCGGCAAUCCGUUAAAUGAUAAAUAGACUAGACUCUUGAAGCAGAGCACCCACAAGCUUUGAAAAGAGAGGAAGCAAUGAGUUACGGAGUCACCAGAAGGGUAAUUAGGAUCUGCUGCUGAACCAGAUAUCCCGCCCCUUACGACCAGUAAUCGAUAUCCCUGCGAGCCAACAAAGAAUGAAAGAAGGAAAGGAGGACGCGAGGAAAAGAAGCGGGAAAUUGCGUAGAUACAGAGGAAAGCAAUCCCUCUUAUCACGCUCAUGCCCCUUAGCUUCACCUAGAUCGAAUAGACAGGCCAAAUCAACUCGGUCUUCAUUAGUAUGCUUACUCAUUGCUGUGAAACCAAUGGUGAGGAUUGGUCACAUAGGUGACCUACAGCUGGGCAUAUACACUAAAAACCUAAAAACAACGACUGGAAACACUCCAUUCAUCAUGGUGUAUGGUGCUGAAGCUAUCAUUCCCCGGUCACCAGUCUACGAUUGGCAGUACCGCAUCGAUUGGGAGACAUAGAAAGCGAUCGUUUACACAAAUUGAUCCAUCCCGAAUAAGAUGGCAACCGCCUGUGCUAGAGCAACAGCGUCAAGCUUGGCAUGAUAGGCAGUUACGUCAUAAACCUAUUUUCAAAGGCUACCAGACUUGGGGUUAGCUACACGGAGCAUCUCUUUCUUACCCUUCGGGUAGUCACAGGGAAGCUCUCUAAUAGAUCACUUUAGACAAAGGAAAUGAACUACAACAAAGGACUUCAACUUAAGAACAAGGAUAACCAGGAAUCAGAGCAGAAUUCACCCAGCAGCUCUGUUCUCAGUAGGAAAGUCGCGUGGGUUCAAAGUCCUAAGCUAGGAGGAAGACCGGCAUCUGAGAACUCCUCUAAUGCUGCUAAGGAAGGACUUGGCCGGCUAGGAAUCCGCCUGACCUAACGACCUUCCUUGUGCGGUAACAAGUCGGUGGCGAAGGUAGUAAUCCCCGGCACUCCUUCUCUUCUGAGAAUUUGAGUUAUUCGCUGCUUCCUUACUCUGAUUUUGACUCUGGUUAGCCAAAGGGCGAAUACGAUGUCGGAGCUUUCCAAUCUCUUUCUUACAAAGAAAGACAUCCAUACGUAGGGUGUGGUCGAAGAUCAGUGACUGCUUCCUUUGCUGAUCAGCGAUCAUGCCCCUUAUUCUAGCGGAGGAACAGCUUCACAUCGGAUUCAUUUCCACAAGAGUGCUCUAAUGGCAAAGAGCAGUAUCCACUUGAAACUCGGCAUUACUUACUUAUCAUACAAACCUAGCCCGUUAUGGGGCACUUUCAGCCGGUGGUAGGAGUCCCUAACUUGGAGCUUAGGCCACUAGAACGCUUCUUUUAUCUAGUUUAGGAAGGCACUCAUCUCAGUCUCAGGGACAUGCCCAGAAGAAACUGCUGGUGUCAGGUUUUCGGGAAUUGAAUCAGGAUUGUCUUGUGCCAGAACUGAUUGCACUAGGAGAAGAAAGCCAGUUGUUUAUUCCCAUUCCCUUUAAGUCAGGGAUUCGUUUAAAGCCUUUCGCUAGCAUUACAACAAAACAGAAAAAAUGACAUCAGAUUCAUUAGCUGCGGACGCAUAGGAAUUCAUUCUUACUGUAGCCACACAGCAGAGAAAAAAUGCGAUUGAGAAUACAAGAGCGACGAAUGAGCGAAGGGCUUCCCUACGAAGAUGCUUUUGCCCCUGGACAAGAAAUGGUUAUGAACUGACAAGGUCAAUGCACCUCCUUCCCUUUGGAUAGGGCUUGGGAUUGACAAAUCAAAGGCCCAAGAACGAGCCAAAGAUCAGCUCUUUUCACAAGCCGGAAUGAAGAUGAAGCUUACAACGAGACGAGAAAGAAAAAGUCCACCUUCUGCAGAUGAUCCAGCGGUAAAAGAUUCUCUUUCAACCGAGGGGCAUUAGUCAAUCAAUGAAAAGGAAGAAGUAGUUUAGUUCAAGAAUUUGGCUUCCCUUCCCGAAUGUUGGUUUGGAGUUGACCCAGUAGCAGGAGUUGAACACAGCUGAUAUUGAUCCGCUGCUACAUCCGCUGAAAGAUCUGUUGCCAGUUCUGAUCGAUGGGGAUAGGCAUGAAGGCCAAUCAUUCCGGUUAUCUGAGUUUCCCUCGACAAUGCCGGAGAUGUUCUCAGAUGCUCUUAGAUCGGGGGUUGAGGUGGCAUAUCAUAAGGAGUAGCCAGUUUCGAGAAAACCGAAACUAAGGAGAAAGAGAACUACUCGACUAAGAAGUCAGUGUUGGAGGGGGACUAAUCCCUCUCUUCUAGCCAAUACCAGGGAAAGACUUUCUAACCAAUUCAAUUAAUAAGCUAAAGAGAAGUUACAGAAGUACGGAAGUGACAGAGAAGUCAACCUUCUUUGCCAAGGGACUAAACUAUCUGCUCUAUCUGAUACUGAACUAGAUGCCGCAAAAGUCCCAACUCUGGCUCAAUAAAAAUAAGGGGUAUCCAUAUCCAUAAUAAAUAGAAGGAAGGGCUAUGGCUAGAAGUAGAAGGUCUAACUUCCAUUGUCCAUGCAUUAGCCACAAGGCACCCGUAAGAGUCGAAAUCAGCAUUUAAGUUCGAUCCCCUAAACAGGAAAGGCGUCAUCAUCCGGCUAGGGCUGAGAUCUCGAUGCUGCUAUGUCUCAUUACCUCUUUCGUGACUUUCUUUUUUUAAGAAGCGCAAGACCCUCUUUCUUUUACGGUUCUCGUCUGCCAACGGCAUUGAAGCAAGCAGUCUUUGUCCUGUCUAUCCAGCCGGGGAAGAGCCAAGUCCCUUAGAGAGGGGAUGAGAUCAGUCAAGUCUAGGAGAAGGGAAGGUACCGCCUUUUAGUUAGUAACAACUUGGUAAGGGAUCAAACCCUGUCAACUAAAAGCUAUCCAAAACGUACUCGUGAGGAAAGCUAGCCCCCCUGUUUAGCCGCUUACUCUUUAAUAAGAUAAGAUAUGCGCGUGCAAUUGAGAAGGAAGCAAUCUCACAUCCAACAAAGCCCGGUGUAAAGUUAAAGUAGAGGUCAAGAGAUGGAUGCCUUUAUCUAUCGGGGUCAGCUAGAAUCUAUUUUUUUCUAAAUAUGAGUGGAUGCCCACUGACUGUGACUCAAAGUCGGAUUACGCUUUCUUCAGACGGGAAUCUGGGGCUUAGGAAGCAAAGGUGCCACAGGGAAAGAAGUGACUCCCGGGGGAGAAGUCUUGUUCCUAGGGCAUUGGGAUAGGGGAUGGCCAGAUUAGGAUGGACAAGCAGAAGGUGAAGGCAAUAGAAGAGUGGGGAGUCCCCGUGACCGAGCUACGAUCAGUUCUUGGCCUUUUGAACUCGUCGGUUCAUCACUGGAUAUUCUAGGAAGUCCACUCACUGAUAUUUUUUAGAAAGCCUUGGCAUUGGCUUUAAGUUAAGGGGAUAGGGCAAGUGUCAGCGAGCCUUUGAGGACUUGAAGAGGGCCGUGACGGAGGAACCUGUAUUGAGGUUGCCAGACUAUACUGUACCUUUCGAAGUGCACACUGAAGCAUCAGACUAUGCCAUUGGAAGAGUAUUGGUCCAGGAGGGACACCCAGUAGCAUAUGAGAGCCGGAAGCUCAACGAGACAGAAAGGCGCGGUCCCAGUCCCAGAGAAAGAGAUAACAGCCAUGGUGCAUUGCCUGAGGACGUGGAGGCACUACGAGCCUGGAUCGGCUCCCGGUUUAUAUAGGGAAUCUUAAAGAGAAGAUACCGCAGCUGAUUGUCCAACUAGCGGAAGCAAGUCGGGAACUGGAGCUGGAGCGAAAGAAGAAGGAGCUCGCAGACGAGACAGUGCGAAGAGAUGAGAUGAUUAAGUCUGCUUCACGCUUGGCUACCCGCAUCAAGAACGCAGUGGAACGGAAGAAAGAAAGAACAGGAGCUAUUCUUGAGGAUUGCUGAAAGCAAGGCCAGCAGGCUUACUGAAGUCUUUCAUUCCCUGGUUAGCCAACUGCGGGAAUGAAAAGAACCUUGCUUGGCUAGCCGUUUCGACCUUAUCCGUCGCCCUCUUCUUUAUCAGCCAGCCUGGCGACGAGUUUAAAUCUAAAUCAUUCUGUAACCUUUAGAAUUGCAUUUCUUUUUUCUUCUGUCUCUACCUAAGUAGAGUAGAGCCACACCCUCUAUGAGCCCUUUCCUUCUUUAUUUCAUGAAAGUAGGCUUCUUUUUUCCACCUUAAAAGCUUUUGUUGUUCUUCCUAUCGCCCUUUCUUAAAUAUGAAAUAGAAAUGGGCAUCUUCUUAUUCUUCAGCCUGAAAGGCUCUUCCCUGCCUAGCUCCCCUGAAAAAAAAGGAACUACCUUGCUUCGGCACACGAUUCGGAAAACAGCCUCCAAUUUAGCUUUUACCUCUCCAACCGCUGCCCUAACGAGUGGGAAAAGAAGGGGGUAUCUAUGUAAAUGAAAGGCAGAGAUGAGAGCGACAGAAGAGGAGUGGAACGAAGCCUUAACUUAAAGGCAAGGCACCCGAAGACAAAAGCCAUUGGCUGAACACCAGCCAGACAAAUCCUUAAUUCGAAAGACGACAAUCAAAGCAUCACGACUCGAGGAACAUUCCUCAAGGGAGUGAACCAGUGAGAUCGGUAGACAACCCGUAAAAGGAAGCCGCUAGGCAUCAAGCCCUAUUAUCUUAAACCUAGGGAGGGUGGCCGUUGUUGGGUGGUGAGUUGCAAUGAAAGAGCUGAGAAGUUGUGGAUGUACUACAUAGAAGGUUGAGACUUUCUUGGCUCAAGCUGGAACACUUUCUCUGUGCCUACAUACCGAAUCAGACAAGUGAAUCAACCGGUGGUAUGUUCUUCUUCACGUGAUCGUGCUCUAGACCUAUGGGAUUCACAACCAAGGGGGCUGCCCUGCCAGGUCAUCGGGCGUAC